rnacentral:lncRNA from 1 species
GUCAGGGGGAAGGCGGAUCUGGCAGGACGACGAUGGCGGAGGUGCAGAGCUGUCGCAGGUCGGUGGGCGCGCGGGUAUGAGAUCAGAGCGGCGUUGGCAGGAGGGUGGCGGACGACUGGGCUACAGCGGCUUCGCGGCUCGUGCGGUGAGGCGGACGCACAGGUCACCGAGGAGGAAUCGAAAUAGCGAGAGGAACUGAGGAAGAGAGAGAGAGAGAGA